UCGGGAAGCACACGGCCGCAAGUCCGACAUGUCGGCGAUGCCGACUGGGGAUUGCGGAUGUGU
ncrna:unclassified sequences S15-Halobacteria ribosomal protein leader